rnacentral:lncRNA from 1 species
AUGCACAAUCAGAGGUGUGAGGUUAUGGACCUGGUCACCCACUGUGCACGAUCAGAGCCGUGCGAGGUUACAGACCUGGUCACCAGCUGCACCCAAUCAGAAGCUUUUGAGUUUAGGGACCUGGUCACCCGCUGUGCACAGAAGUGUGAGGUUAUGGACCUGAUCACCUGCUGUGUCCAAUCAGAGCCAGGCAAUGUUACAGAUCUAGUCACCAGCUGCACCCAAUCAGAAGCUUUCAAGGUUACGGACCUGGUCACCCACUGUAUCCAAUCAGAGGCAUGUAAGGUUAGGGACCAUGCACGUGGUGAUGGACCUAGUCACCCGCCAAGACUCCUGAUGUUUCCAGUGUCAUCCCAUCUUCCUUCAAAACUUGAAAAAUCUUUAGAUAUUUCCCAAAGCUCGUCCAUCUUUGAAAACGAUAUGUGUGCGCACAGCCUGAACGUGCACGUACAUGCUCUGCUGCAGGUGCACUGCCGUAUGUAGACCAGCAAUGCUCUUUCCUGCCUCGGGUUCUCGUCACUGCCUUCCGGAAAAUCUCACCUGCUUUACAGCCAAGCCAGGUAGGCCUGGUCAGCCGCACAGUGAAACUCCUGCAGUGUCAGAGCUAAGUGCUGGCUGAGACUUUAACGGCGAAGACAGUGGAAGUAAUGGGGAUAAACUGAGCAAAACUGUAUUGUAACGCAGAUGAACGUCUAGAAGCAAAAGAAACUGACACCCCUGAGAGCAGGCGACUGUCUCUUACUAUGAUGUUAAUAGCAGCUUGCUGUUUCCAGUGUCUCCGUGUGCCAGGGUUUCCAGUCAGCGUUUGUGUUUAUCUGCUCUUGGGCUACCUGAUCAAACCUCGCAGAGAUCAGGGAUAUCUAAAUUGACCCAGUAUCUGCAGGUGGCUGCUCAGAGGCCGUGGUGUGGAACGGCCAGGACAUCGCUUAGUCCAUACGGGGCACAAGCAUGUCACUUGCCACUCCUGUCUUUCUGUUUCAUCAAACCCUCUUUCUCCUGAAUAUUGACCAUAGCAAAGUCAUUAGCCUUUGAGAUGCAUUUGAAACAUCAACUUGCUUUGUUCAAGAGGUUUAAGACACACGUAAGUCUUUCUUGCCAUGCUCAACACACACAGCCGCCGUUUCUGAAGUCAGUGUUUCUGGAACAAAAGCCUCGGCCUGCCCCAGUGAACAUUCACAAUGAGCACACUGUCGCAAGGCUGCUUGGCCAACCAGCAGGGGGCAGGAGAGAGCUGCAGGGGCCACGUGGGGUCCCUGCAAAGGCGCCUCACUCCCUCAAAUCAAGAGCGGUGCCUCCUGCCAAUCCAGCGGCUUCCUCCAAGGGGAAGAGGCCUCUUCAGCUGCUACUGCACUGAUUUCAGACGGCUCAGCCAAUGGGGCAACAGAUUCAACAGAGUUCUAUGUUGUUUAAGGAAAACUUCUGUUACCAGGCAACCUUAGUACCAUAUUCAACGUAAAAUAACCAACAACAUUGUUUCCAAAACAACAUGCUACUAGUGCCUUAUCCUUCAAUGCUGCUUAAACACGGAAAAGUAUGAGGAAAAAAGAGCAUGGCACUUACUUCUUAAAAAAUAACACCUCUUCCAGGUUAUUUUUACCCCUAUCAUAAAGACUUAGAACUGUGGAUUCCCUACAGGAACGUGGAGUGGGGGUGGAUCCCCACGCUGACCCAGCCUCACCCCAGGUCAGUCUUCCCCCCCACCACGGGGUUCACACCUCUCCAGGCCCUGUCACCUCAUCAAGGAAAGGUGGCGUCUCUGAGCUCUCUUCGCAGGAAGCACCCGAACGGGAGCUAGAGACACAGACACACCCACAACUGCUUUGAAAUCCUGAACAUAUUUAAGGACUUCAUUAUUAGCUUUUUAAAACUGUAAGAACAAAGUGACCCUGGUUUUAACCUCUCUGCCACAAUAACACCAUGUCCAUCUGUCUUUUACUGUUUGUUCCUUCUCCAGCAGCCGCUGCCUGGCUGGCCGACUGCAGAAGAACAGCCUCUGGUACUCCUGGGAAGCCCUCGGUAAAAGCGUGAACACCACGAUCACGUCUCAGGACGCCGCACAUGUUAGGGUCGCCCACAGACCGCCAUUCCCAGUGCCUAGAAGGCACUGAACGGGCCUCCUGCUCUUUGUAAAUGUCAACUUUCCUAAGCUAAGUUGUGUUGAAAAUUUUUAACUGCAGUCCACACGUACUUCUUUGUGUCUUGUUUUUAUCCUAGAGGAAUUUUUAUGGAAAAUUAAGCUU